UGGGGAAUAUUGCACAAUGGGCGAAAGCCUGAUGCAGCGACGCCGCGUGAGGGAUGACGGCCUUCGGGUUGUAAACCUCUUUCAGCAGGGACGAAGCGCAAGUGACGGUACCUGCAGAAGAAGCACCGGCUAACUACGUUCCAGCAGCCGCGGUAAUACGUAGGGUGCAAGCGUUGUCCGGAAUUACUGGGCGUAAAGAGUUCGUAGGCGGUUUGUCUUGUCGUUUGUGAAAACCAGCAGCUCAACUGCUGGCUUGCAGGCGAUACGGGCAGACUUGAGUACUGCAGGGGGGACUGGAAUUCCUGGUGUAGCGGUGAAAUGCGCAGAUAUCAGGAGGAACACCGGUGGCGAAGGCGGGUCUCUGGGCAGUAACUGACGCUGAGGAACGAAAGCGUGGGUAGCGAACAGG
rnacentral:rRNA from 1 species